rnacentral:lncRNA from 10 species
AUUGACACCAUCAGCUCCCCUGAUUCCCAGGCCUUCAGACUUGAACUGGAAUUACUCCAUUGGCUUUCCUGAGUCUCUAAUUUGCAGAUGGCAGAUCAUUGAACUUCUCAGCCCGCAUAAAUGGAUCUGUGUCAAACGGAUUUUCUUCAUUUACUUCAGCUAAAACUACAUACUAGAACUCACUGGGUGAUGAAGCAGAUAUGAGAGUCUAGUUAACGUCUAGCAAGCCAGACUUCAAAGAGGUUUGCAAAAAUAUAAAAUAAUGCCAUUUUUCUCACUAUUUUUGGAAAGUAUACAUUUAUUUUAACAAGUAGUACUUUUUGUGAAUUAAUAUUUGUUUUAUAUUGGUAAUGGAAGUAAUAUAGCUAUACAGACAAAAUAAAUAUAAGCUCUUUGGGGCUCUCAAUUUUUUAUAGUAUAAAGGGAUAAUGAGACCAAAAAGUUGAAAACUUCUGAUAUAAGCUACUUUUCAUUUCUAUAAUAUCAAACAAUUGUGGACAUUUAUCUCAGGAACUAUUCUAGGUGUCAGAGUGUCAGAGGAGA